CAGGCUUAACACAUGCAAGUCGAGGGGCAGCAUGGUCUUAGCUUGCUAAGGCCGAUGGCGACCGGCGCACGGGUGAGUAACACGUAUCCAACCUGCCGUCUACUCUUGGACAGCCUUCUGAAAGGAAGAUUAAUACAAGAUGGCAUCAUGAGUCCGCAUGUUCACAUGAUUAAAGGUAUUCCGGUAGACGAUGGGGAUGCGUUCCAUUAGAUAGUAGGCGGGGUAACGGCCCACCUAGUCUUCGAUGGAUAGGGGUUCUGAGAGGAAGGCCCCCACAUUGGAACUGAGACAUGGUCCAAACUCCUACGGGAGGCAGCAGUGAGGAAUAUUGGUCAAUGGGCGAGAGCCUGAACCAGCCAAGUAGCGUGAAGGAUGACUGCCCUAUGGGUUGUAAACUUCUUUUAUAAAGGAAUAAAGUCGGGUAUGGAUACCCGUUUGCAUGUACUUUAUGAAUAAGGAUCGGCUAACUCCGUGCCAGCAGCCGCGGUAAUACGGAGGAUCCGAGCGUUAUCCGGAUUUAUUGGGUUUAAAGGGAGCGCACAUGGAUGUUUAAGUCACUUGUGAAAGUUUGCGGCUCAACCGUAAAAUUGCACUUGAUACUGGAUAUCUUGAGUGCAGUUGAGGCAGGCGGAAUUCGUGGUGUAGCGGUGAAAUGCUUAGAUAUCACGAAGAACUCCGAUUGCGAAGGCAGCCUGCUAAGCUGCAACUGACAUUGAGGCUCGAAAGUGUGGGUAUCAAACAGGAUUAGAUACCCUGGUAGUCCACACGGUAAACGAUGAAUACUCGCUGUUUGCGAUAUACUGCAAGCGGCCAAGCGAAAGCGUUAAGUAUUCCACCUGGGGAGUACGCCGGCAACGGUGAAACUCAAAGGAAUUGACGGGGGCCCGCACAAGCGGAGGAACAUGUGGUUUAAUUCGAUGAUACGCGAGGAACCUUACCCGGGCUUAAAUUGCAGAUGAAUUACGGUGAAAGCCGUAAGCCGCAAGGCAUCUGUGAAGGUGCUGCAUGGUUGUCGUCAGCUCGUGCCGUGAGGUGUCGGCUUAAGUGCCAUAACGAGCGCAACCCUUGUUGUCAGUUACUAACAGGUUCCGCUGAGGACUCUGACAAGACUGCCAUCGUAAGAUGUGAGGAAGGUGGGGAUGACGUCAAAUCAGCACGGCCCUUACGUCCGGGGCUACACACGUGUUACAAUGGGGGGUACAGAGGGCCGCUACCACGCGAGUGGAUGCCAAUCCCCAAAACCUCUCUCAGUUCGGACUGGAGUCUGCAACCCGACUCCACGAAGCUGGAUUCGCUAGUAAUCGCGCAUCAGCCACGGCGCGGUGAAUACGUUCCCGGGCCUUGUACACACCGCCCGUCAAGCCAUGGGAGCCGGGGGUACCUGAAGUGCGUAACCGCGAGGAGCGCCCUAGGGUAAAACUGGUGA
rnacentral:rRNA from 1 species